CCUACGGGAGGCAGCAGUGAGGAAUAUUGGUCAAUGGACGAGAGUCUGAACCAGCCAAGUAGCGUGAAGGAUGACUGCCCUAUGGGUUGUAAACUUCUUUUAUAUGGGAAUAAAAUGUUCCACGUGUGGGAUUUUGUAUGUACCAUAUGAAUAAGGAUCGGCUAACUCCGUGCCAGCAGCCGCGGUAAUACGGAGGAUCCGAGCGUUAUCCGGAUUUAUUGGGUUUAAAGGGAGCGUAGGUGGAUUGUUAAGUCAGGUGUGAAAGUUUGCGGCUCAACCGUAAAAUUGCAGUUGAAACUGGCAGUCUUGAGUGCAGUAGAGGUGGGCGGAAUUCGUGGUGUAGCGGUGAAAUGCUUAGAUAUCACGAAGAACUCCGAUUGCGAAGGCAGUUCACUGGACUGCAACUGACACUGAGGCUCGAAAGUGUGGGUAUCAAACAGGAUUAGAUACCCCAGUAGUC
rnacentral:rRNA from 1 species